rnacentral:rRNA from 1 species
AUGGCCACGCCGCUGGUCCUCGCCUCCCGCGGCGCCCACGCCGCCGCCGCCACCACCACCUCCACCUGCGCCUCCCAGCACCUCGCCGCGGCCACCUCCAAGGAGCCCCCGCCGCGCGUGCGGCCCAAGCGCGGCGCCACCAAGUCGCUCGUCCUCUCCCACGCCGCCGCCGGCCGCAUGGACGCCGCCCUGGAGGCCCUGGCGGCCGCCGGCAGCUGCGACGCGUUCCUCCACAACGUCGUCAUCCGGGGCCUCGCCGACGCGGGCCUCCCGGGCGCCGCGCUGGCCGCCUACCGCGCCAUGCUGGCGGCCGGCGCGCGCCCCGGCCGCUUCACCUUCCCCGUCGUCCUCAAGUGCUGCGCGCGGCUCGGGGCGCUCGAGGACGGCCGCGCGGCGCACUCGGCGGCGAUCAGGCUCGGCGUGGUGGCCGCCGACGUGUACACGGGCAACUCGCUCCUCGCCUUCUACGCCAGGCUCGGCAUGGUGGGCGACGCCGAGAGAGUGUUCGACGGAAUGCCGGCCAGGGACAUCGUCACCUGGAACUCCAUGGUCGACGGCUACGUGUCCAACGGCCUCGGGGCGCUGGCCCUGGGCUGCUUCAGGGAGAUGCACGAGGCGCUGGAGGUGCAGCAUGACUGCGUCGGGAUCAUAGCCGCGCUCGCCGCGUGCUGCUUGGAAUCUGCGCUGAUGCAAGGGCGGGAGGUGCACGCCUAUGUGAUCAGGCACGGGAUGGAGCAUGACGUCAAGGUUGGCACUUCUAUCCUUGACAUGUACUGCAAGUGUGGCGACAUUGCUUCUGCCGAGGGCGUGUUUGCGACGAUGCCACUGAGGACCGUGGUGACAUGGAAUUGUAUGAUAGGUGGGUAUGCCCUGAACGAACGGCCCGAGGAGGCAUUUGAUUGCUUCGUGCAAAUGAAGGAAGAGGGCCACCAGGUGGAAGUGGUUACCGCUAUCAAUUUGCUGGCUGCCUGUGCUCAAACUGAGAGCUCGCUGUAUGGAAGGAGUGUUCACGGUUACAUAACCAGAAGACAGUUUCUUCCUCAUGUGGUGCUCGAGACCGCGCUUCUCGAGAUGUACAGCAAAGUUGGCAAAGUGAAAUCAUCGGAGAAGGUAUUUGGUCAGAUGACGACCAAAACUCUGGUAUCAUGGAACAAUAUGAUCGCCGCCUACAUGUACAAGGAGAUGUAUAUUGAAGCGAUCACAUUGUUCCUUGAAUUACUGAAUCAGCCGCUUUACCCUGAUUAUUUCACCAUGUCGGCAGUAGUACCGGCGUUUGUUUUGCUGGGGUUGCUGAGACAAUGCAGGCAAAUGCACGGCUACAUUGUCAGGCUAGGUUACGGGGAGAGCACUCUCAUCAUGAACGCAGUUAUGCAUAUGUAUGCGAGGUGUGGUGAUGUUUUGUCCUCGAGAGAGAUAUUUGACAAAAUGGCAGGUAAGGAUGUCAUCUCUUGGAACACAAUGAUAAUGGGCUAUGCGAUUCAUGGUCAGGGGAGAACUGCACUGGAGAUGUUCUCCGAGAUGAGAUGUAAUGGUCUGCAACCAAAUGAGAGUACCUUUGUCUCCGUGUUGACUGCUUGCAGUGUUUCAGGCUUGACAGAUGAAGGCUGGACGCAGUUCAACUCAAUGCAACGUGACUAUGGUAUGAUCCCACAGAUUGAGCACUACGGAUGCAUGACAGAUCUGCUUGGUCGGGCAGGUGAUCUUAGAGAGGUUAUGCAAUUUAUUGAAAAAAUGCCAAUAGAUCCAACAUUCAGGGUUUGGGGCUCCCUACUGACUGCAAGCAGGAAUAGGAAUGACAUGGAUAUAGCAGAAUACGCAGCAGAGAGGAUAUUUCAACUCGAACAUGACCAACUGGAACAUGACAACACAGGUUGCUAUGUUCUUAUUUCUUCCAUGUAUGCCGAUGCAGGGAGAUGGAACGAUGUCGAGAGAAUAAGAUCACUGAUGGAGGAGAAGGGGCUGCGAAGGACAGAACCAACAAGCAUAGUUGAGCUUCAUGGCAUCUCCUGCAGUUUUGUCAACGGGGACACGACGCACCCUCAGAGCAAGAUGAUUCAGGAAGUGUCCAACUUUCUGUCAGGAAAGAUUGGAGAAAUGGUUGACCCAACAAAUCAAUCUGAUCCAACCUCUCUGGAGUCGAGGAGAACAACAGAGCCCAACAAGCAUAGUGUGAGGCUGGCUGUCGUCUUUGGUCUGAUAUCAUCCGAGGCCAGAACCCCAAUUCUUGUCAAGAAGAACGUGCGCAUAUGCAACGACUGCCAUCAUGCGCUGAAGUUGAUAUCGAAAUAUUCGGGACGGAGGAUUGUUGUCGGCGACACAAAUAUCUAUCACCAAUUCUCGGAUGGGUCUUGCUGCUGCGGUGACUACUGGUGA